rnacentral:rRNA from 1 species
AGUGAACGCUGGCGGUAGGCCUAACACAUGCAAGUCGAACGGCAGCACAGUAAGAGCUUGCUCUUACGGGUGGCGAGUGGCGGACGGGUGAGGAGUACAUCGGAAUCUACUUUUUCGUGGGGGAUAACGUAGGGAAACUUACGCUAAUACCGCAUACGACCUACGGGUGAAAGCAGGGGAUCUUCGGACCUUGCGCGAUUGAAUGAGCCGAUGUCGGAUUAGCUAGUUGGCGGGGUAAGGGCCCACCAAGGCGACGAUCCGUAGCUGGUCUGAGAGGAUGAUCAGCCACACUGGAACUGAGACACGGUCCAGACUCCUACGGGAGGCAGCAGUGGGGAAUAUUGGACAAUGGGCGCAAGCCUGAUCCAGCCAUACCGCGUGGGUGAAGAAGGCCUUCGGGUUGUAAAGCCCUUUUGUUGGGAAAGAAAAGCAGCAGGUUAAUACCCCGCUGUUCUGACGGUACCCAAAGAAUAAGCACCGGCUAACUUCGUG